rnacentral:rRNA from 1 species
CGAAGCCGCGAGGCAGAGCAAAACCCUAAAAAGUACGUCUCAGUUCGGAUUGCAGGCUGCAACUCGCCUGCAUGAAGUCGGAAUUGCUAGUAAUCGCAGAUCAGCAUGCUGCGGUGAAUACGUUCCCGGGCCUUGUACACACCGCCCGUCACACCAUGGGAGUCGGUAACACCCGAAGUCGGUAGUCUAACCGAAGGGAGGACGCCGCCGAAGGUGGGAUUGAUGACUGGGGUGAAGUCGUAACAAGGUAUC